UGCGUAGACGGCUUAGCAAGUCAGGGGUGAAAGGCAUUGGCUCAACCAAUGUAAGCCUUUGAAACUGUUAGGCUUGAGUGCAGGAGAGGAAAGUGGAAUUCCUAGUGUAGCGGUGAAAUGCGUAGAUAUUAGGAGGAACACCAGUGGCGAAGGCGACUUUCUGGACUGUAACUGACGUUGAGGCACGAAAGCGUGGGGAGCGAACA
rnacentral:rRNA from 1 species